UACGUAGGGUGCAAGCGUUGUCCGGAAUUAUUGGGCGUAAAGAGCUCGUAGGCGGUUUGUCGCGUCGAAUGUGAAAACCCCGGGGCUCAACCCCGGGCCUGCAUUCGAUACGGGCAGACUAGAGUUCGGUAGGGGAGUCUGGAAUUCCUGGUGUAGCGGUGAAAUGCGCAGGAUAUCAGGAGGAACACCGGUGGCGAAGGCGGGACUCUGGGCCGAUACUGACGCUGAGGAGCGAAAGCGUGGGGAGCGAACAGGA
rnacentral:rRNA from 1 species